CACGCCCUAAACGAUGCGAACUGGAUGUUGGGCACACUACGGUGCUCAGUGUCGAAGCUAACGCGUUAAGUUCGCCGCCUGGGGAGUACGGUCGCAAGACUGAAACUCAAAGGAAUUGACGGGGGCCCGCACAAGCGGUGGAGUAUGUGGUUUAAUUCGAUGCAACGCGCAGAACCUUACCUGGCCUUGACAUCCACGGAACUUUCCAGAGAUGGAUUGGUGCCUUCGGGAACCGUGAGACAGGUGC
rnacentral:rRNA from 1 species